AUAAGCUGACGAGUCCCAAAUAGGACGAAACGCGCGUCCUGGAU
rnacentral:hammerhead_ribozyme from 1 species